CUCAAAUAUCUGACUUUAAAAUUAAAAUGGCAAUACCUCAGCUACUCCUCCACUCCCCACAAAAAUAAGUGCACUGCUAAAAACAACAGUGCUAGUUGACAGGACCUUUGAAAGGCUGCAAUGUAACUUCGUGCAGUUACAAGGGGACAUGACUGAACAGGUUGGAAUGACAUACAUACUCAGCGCACAGAAAUGUGAACUUACCUAUCUAUCUGUAUAUUUUUCCUCACGGACACAGAAGGUAUAUGCAGAUUAAAAUAAACCAAGUUUAAAUUAAUACUUGUAUAUAGCACUCAGGAGCAACCUAACUAUAGCUGCCAGAGAAUAACAAUAUAAUUAUUGCACAAAUCUCCUCCCAAUCAACUAGAGAUGACAACAGAUUAGUUUCUCUCACUGCCUACCUUAUUAAAGUCAGGUAUUGAGAGCUAUUGCCUAGACUCAACCAACUGCUGCUUACCUCUACUAUUUUAAAAUUUUUAUUAUUUAUUUUUAAACACUCAGGUCUGAACAGGCAAACAGUAAGACACUAUCGACUACAGUAUCAAAUAUUGUUAUCAAGUAUCUUAAAUUUCUGUUAAAGACCAUAAUGAGAAGAUGCAGCAGGCAUCUUCAUGCUUGUUAUCAUAUUAGCAUCGCUACUAGAUUCCAUUUCAGCUAUCUGUAUCAUGACCUAAUUAACUGUCAAUACACUCGGGGCCGUUGUUUGAACAAUUUCCCAUAGUGAGGGCACAGAGGAAGGACACAAGAACAAGCUAUUGCCUCAAGAUUACAAGCUUUGUUUGUUUUAUGCAAUUAAAUCAAAUUCAGCUAUUUGGCAACAGUUUACAUAAACUUUUCAUUCAAAAAGAGUAAACAGAACCUGUACAUUAAAAGCCCUGAUAUCACCUAAUUGUGUUUUAAAGGAUAAACUACACAGAUUAAUAGCCCACAAAGUUGACUAACUUGAUUUGACUCAGUUGCAUGGAAUCCACAAGCACAUGCUGCUAACCAGGAAAGAUGAGUGCAAGACAUGACAUAAUGAAAAGCAAGUUUGAGUGCUGAUGCCCAUUUUCAAAGACUGAUUCCAGAGCUCAAUUUAAAAAGUAGGAACUGAGGCAUAUUUUAAACCAUAUGCUAAGGAAAAGCUUCAAGAAUGACUUGUAUACAAAAAUAUUUAAAUGGCUGAAACAUUCACGAAGCAAAAAUCAAAACUGGGGUAACAGCAGGCUGAGCUACAGCACGCUCUCAACUGAACUAAUAGCAAUGGGAAUUUUAAAUUUGUGCAUUGUAACUCAGAAAGACGUUGCAGGGAAACAAGUAUGCAAAGCCACACUAAAUGGGUAAAUAAUACGAGUCAGUGACUAGGAUUCAGUCAAAAAAUCGAUAUUGUGCAGUUAAGGGGCUCCAUGUAGUUCCUAAAGAAAAAAAUACUAUAACAACAGGUGAGUUUUCUAGCAAUACUUGUAAUAAAUAAGUUUUGUCAACCAAUGUAGGUGGCAACAAGAUAGCUCUGUACUUCAGACAUUUUUAGGAACCACGGAUACCAACAAAAUUUAGGGUCUAGAGUUCUCACACAGUGUGCAAGAAGAAUCGAUACCUCAAAAGCAAUCCAAAAAAAUCCACAUACUGAAUCCGCAAGUCAUCAGAAAGCAUCCAAUAGGAAGCGCUAAGCAGAGGGGUGUGCGUGAACUCUUACCUUUGUGAAC